CAAAAAUAGCCAGCUCAUUGGAAUGGAGUGACAGGAGGAAGGAGCAAGAACCCAACUUCAGACAAACGGACGUUUUCAAAAGAGGAAGGGCAGCAACCAGGCCUCCCGCAGAACUCAGCUCCAGCCUAGCAAUUCAGCGCGAGUAACUGAAGCCGCAACCCCGGUCGAUAUGAUAGCGGGUGCGUUACCAGUUUGGCCACAAACCGUUAUUCAUCAUCUCUGCGUCCGGCCGGCUCACCCCGGCCGCCUGGAGCGCCGCUGCCUCUCCCGCAGUCAGCUGUGUUUUAAUCAGCUACGUUACGGGAAAACGUCCUUAGAGGAAAGCGGUGCCAUCGCUCGGCAUGCCAGCGGCUCAUGGAUCGGGAUAGGAACGUUCCCAAGUGCAGUAAUGUGCUGUGACACUGGGCCAGUUCAUUUAGAGAAAAAUUAAAUAUCAUCUGGAGGCGACAGGGAGAUGGAACCCAUGAGGCUGAGGACCAGGUGCAAGUGAGGAGGGAGGGCGUCUUUCUGAGCGGUGAGGCGUGAGGCAUGGAGGGCUUCCUGGAGCAGGUGGUAUUGAAGGUUGGCCUGGAAUGAGGAGGAGCAUUCCAGCACAUGG